UGCAGGAGACUGAGGCAGGA
rnacentral:misc_RNA from 1 species